CGAGUGGCGGACGGGUGAGUAACACGUGGGUAACCUGCCCUUAAGUGGGGGAUAACAUUUGGAAACAGAUGCUAAUACCGCAUAGAUCCAAGAACCGCAUGGUUCUUGGCUGAAAGAUGGCGUAAGCUAUCGCUUUUGGAUGGACCCGCGGCGUAUUAGCUAGUUGGUGAGGUAAUGGCUCACCAAGGCGAUGAUACGUAGCCGAACUGAGAGGUUGAUCGGCCACAUUGGGACUGAGACACGGCCCAAACUCCUACGGGAGGCAGCAGUAGGGAAUCUUCCACAAUGGACGCAAGUCUGAUGGAGCAACGCCGCGUGAGUGAAGAAGGCUUUCGGGUCGUAAAACUCUGUUGUUGGAGAAGAAUGGUCGGCAGAGUAACUGUUGUCGGCGUGACGGUAUCCAACCAGAAAGCCACGGCUAACUACGUGCCAGCAGCCGCGGUAAUACGUAGGUGGCAAGCGUUAUCCGGAUUUAUUGGGCGUAAAGCGAGCGCAGGCGGUUUUUUAAGUCUGAUGUGAAAGCCCUCGGCUUAACCGAGGAAGCGCAUCGGAAACUGGGAAACUUGAGUGCAGAAGAGGACAGUGGAACUCCAUGUGUAGCGGUGAAAUGCGUAGAUAUAUGGAAGAACACCAGUGGCGAAGGCGGCUGUCUGGUCUGUAACUGACGCUGAGGCUCGAAAGCAUGGGUAGCGAACAGGAUUAGAUACCCUGGUAGUCCAUGCCGUAAACGAUGAAUGCUAGGUGUUGGAGGGUUUCCGCCCUUCAGUGCCGCAGCUAACGCAUUAAGCAUUCCGCCUGGGGAGUACGACCGCAAGGUUGAAACUCAAAGGAAUUGACGGGGGCCCGCACAA
rnacentral:rRNA from 1 species